rnacentral:rRNA from 1 species
UACGUAGGGACCGAGCGUUGUCCGGAUUCAUUGGGCGUAAAGAGCUCGUAGGCGGCCACUCAAGUCGAAUGUGAAACCUCGAGGCUUAACCUCGAGCCUGCAUUCGAUACUGGGCGGCUAGAGUCUGGUAGGGGGAUCUGGAAUUCCUGGUGUAGCGGUGAAAUGCGUAGAUAUCAGGAGGAACACCGGUGGCGAAGGCGGCGACCUGGGUCGAGACUGACGCUGAGGCGCGAAAGCGUGGGGAGCAAACAGG